GAUGAACGCUGGCGGCGUGCCUAAUACAUGCAAGUCGAGCGAAUGGAUUAAGAGCUUGCUCUUAUGAAGUUAGCGGCGGACGGGUGAGUAACACGUGGGUAACCUGCCCAUAAGACUGGGAUAACCCCGGGAAACCGGUGCUAAUACCGGAUAACAUUUUGAACCGCAUGGUUCGAAAUUGAAAGGCGGCUUCGGCUGUCACUUAUGGAUGGACCCGGGGCGCAUUAGCUAGUUGGCGAGGUAACGGCUCACCAAGGCAACGAUGCGUAGCCGACCUGAGAGGGUGAUCGGCCACACUGGGACUGAGACACGGCCCAGACUCCUACGGGAGGCAACAGUAGGGAAUCUUCCGCAAUGGACGAAAGUCUGACGGAGCAACGCCGCGUGAGUGAUGAAGGCUUUCGGGUCGUAAAACUCUGUUGUUAGGGAAGAACAAGUGCUAGUUGAAUAAGCUGGCACCUUGACGGUACCUAACCAGAAAGCCACGGCUAACUACGUGCCAGCCGCCGCAGUAA
rnacentral:rRNA from 1 species